rnacentral:rRNA from 1 species
GGUUAAGUUAGAAAGGGCGCACGGUGGAUGCCUUGGCACUAGGAGCCGAAGAAGGACGGGACUAACACCGAUAUGCUUUGGGGAGCUGUACGUAAGCGUUGAUCCAGAGAUUUCCGAAUGGGGGAACCCACUAUCUUUAGUCGGAUAGUAUCCUUACGUGAAUACAUAGCGUGAGGAAGGCAGACCCAGGGAACUGAAACAUCUAAGUACCUGGAGGAAGAGAAAGAAAAAUCGAUUUCCUGAGUAGCGGCGAGCGAAACGGAAAGAGCCCAAACCAAGAAGCUUGCUUCUUGGGGUUGUAGGACACUCUAUACGGAGUUACAAAAGAAAGUUAUAAAUGAAGCGGUCUGGAAAGGCCCGCCAAAGACGGUAACAGCCCGGUAGUUGAAAUGGCUUUCCCUCCAGAGUGGAUCCUGAGUACGGCGGAACACGUGAAAUUCCGUCGGAAUCCGGGAGGACCAUCUCCCAAGGCUAAAUACUCCCUAGUGACCGAUAGUGAACCAGUACCGUGAGGGAAAGGUGAAAAGCACCCCGGAAGGGGAGUGAAACAGUUCCUGAAACCGUGUGCCUACAAGUAGUUAGAGCCCGUUAAUGGGUGAUAGCGUGCCUUUUGUAGAAUGAACCGGCGAGUUACGAUUUGUUGCAAGGUUAAGCGGAAAAAGCGGAGCCGUAGCGAAAGCGAGUCUGAAUAGGGCGCAUAAGUAACAGGUCGUAGACCCGAAACCAGGUGAUCUACCCAUGUCCAGGAUGAAGGUAAGGUAAUACUUACUGGAGGUCCGAACCCACGCACGUUGAAAAGUGCGGGGAUGAGGUGUGGGUAGCGGAGAAAUUCCAAUCGAACUUGGAGAUAGCUGGUUCUCUCCGAAAUAGCUUUAGGGCUAGCCUCGAGGUAAAGAGUCAUGGAGGUAGAGCACUGUUUGGACUAGGGGCCCUUCUCGGGUUACCGAAUUCAGAUAAACUCCGAAUGCCAUGUACUUAUACUCGGGAGUCAGACUGCGAGUGAUAAGAUCCGUAGUCGAAAGGGAAACAGCCCAGACCACCAGUUAAGGUCCCCAAAUAUAUGUUAAGUGGAAAAGGAUGUGGGGUUGCUUAGACAACCAGGAUGUUGGCUUAGAAGCAGCCACCAUUGAAAGAGUGCGUAAUAGCUCACUGGUCGAGUGACCCCGCGCCGAAAAUGUACCGGGGCUAAACAUAUUACCGAAACUGUGGAUGAACCUCUUUAGAGGUUCGUGGUAGGAGAGCGUUCUAAGGGCGGUGAAGUCAGACCGGAAGGACUGGUGGAGCGCUUAGAAGUGAGAAUGCCGGUAUGAGUAGCGAAAGAAGGGUGAGAAUCCCUUCCACCGAAUAUCUAAGGUUUCCUGAGGAAGGCUCGUCCGCUCAGGGUUAGUCGGGACCUAAGCCGAGGCCGAUAGGCGUAGGCGAUGGACAACAGGUAGAGAUUCCUGUACCAGUGCUAAUUGUUUAACCG